UUGAACAAGAUACUAUGCCUCCA
rnacentral:piRNA from 1 species